GCUGGGCUUGGUGGCGCAUGCCUGUAAUCCCAGCUACUUGGGAGGCUGAGGCAGGGGAAUUGCUUGAACUCGGGAGGCAGAGGUUGCAGUGAGCUGAGAUCACGCCACUGCACUCCAGCCUGGUGACAAAGCAAGACUCUGUCUCAA
rnacentral:SRP_RNA from 1 species